GGUUACUGCUAUCGGUGUUCGCCUAAGCCAUGCGAGUCAUAUGUUCGUAAGAACAUGGCGUACUGCUCAGUAACACGUGGAUAACCUGCCCUUGGGUCCGGCAUAACCCCGGGAAACUGGGGAUAAUUCCGGAUAACGCAUAUAUGCUGGAAUGCUUUAUGUGUAAAAUGGAUUCGUCUGCCCAAGGAUGGGUCUGCGGCCUAUCAGGUAGUAGUGGGUGUAAUGUACCUACUAGCCUACGACGGGUACGGGUUGUGAGAGCAAGAGCCCGGAGAUGGAUUCUGAGACAUGAAUCCAGGCCCUACGGGGCGCAGCAGGCGCGAAAACUUUACAAUGCGGGAAACCGUGAUAAGGGGACACCGAGUGCCAGCAUCCUAUGCUGGCUGUCCGGGUGUGUAAAAUACACCUGUUAGCAAGGGCCGGGCAAGACCGGUGCCAGCCGCCGCGGUAACACCGGCGGCCCGAGUGGUGAUCGUGAUUAUUGGGUCUAAAGGGUCCGUAGCCGGUUUGGUCAGUCCUCCGGGAAAUCUGACAGCUUAACUGUUAGGCUUUCGGAGGAUACUGCCAGACUUGGAACCGGGAGAGGUAAGAGGUACUACAGGGGUAGGAGUGAAAUCUUGUAAUCCCUGUGGGACCACCUGUGGCGAAGGCGUCUUACCAGAACGGGUUCGACGGUGAGGGACGAAAGCUGGGGGCACGAACCGGAUUAGAUACCCGGGUAGUCCCAGCCGUAAACGAUGCUCGCUAGGUGUCAGGCAUGGCGCGACCGUGUCUGGUGCCGCAGGGAAGCCGUGAAGCGAGCCACCUGGGAAGUACGGCCGCAAGGCUGAAACUUAA
rnacentral:rRNA from 1 species